rnacentral:rRNA from 1 species
GAACGCUGCGGCAUGCCUUACACAUGCAAGUCGAACGGCAGCACGGGAGCAAUCCUGGUGGCGAGUGGCGAACGGGUGAGUAAUAUAUCGGAACGUGCCCGGUCGUGGGGGAUAACGUAGCGAAAGCUACGCUAAUACCGCAUACGAUCUACGGAUGAAAGCGGGGGACCGCAAGACCUCGCGCGAUUGGAGCGGCCGAUAUCAGAUUAGGUAGUUGGUGAGGUAAAGGCUCACCAAGCCGACGAUCUGUAGCUGGUCUGAGAGGACGACCAGCCACACUGGGACUGAGACACGGCCCAGACUCCUACGGGAGGCAGCAGUGGGGAAUAUUGGACAAUGGGCGCAAGCCUGAUCCAGCAAUGCCGCGUGCAGGAUGAAGGCCUUCGGGUUGUAAACUGCUUUUGUACGGAACGAAACGGUGAGCUCUAAUACAGUUUGCUAAUGACGGUACCGUAAGAAUAAGCACCGGCUAACUACGUG